rnacentral:rRNA from 1 species
CCUACGGGGGGCAGCAGUGGGGAAUAUUGGACAAUGGGGGCAACCCUGAUCCAGCCAUGCCACGUGUGUGAAGAAGGCCCUCGGGUUGUAAAGCACUUUCAGUGAGGAAGAACGCCUGGUGGUUAAUACCCAUCAGGAAAGACAUCACUCACAGAAGAAGCACCGGCUAACUCCGUGCCAGCAGCCGCGGUAAUACGGAGGGUGCGAGCGUUAAUCGGAAUUACUGGGCGUAAAGCGCGCGUAGGUGGCUUGAUAAGCCGGUUGUGAAAGCCCCGGGCUCAACCUGGGAACGGCAUCCGGAACUGUCAAGCUAGAGUGCAGGAGAGGAAGGUAGAAUUCCCGGUGUAGCGGUGAAAUGCGUAGAGAUCGGGAGGAAUACCAGUGGCGAAGGCGGCCUUCUGGACUGACACUGACACUGAGGUGCGAAAGCGUGGGUAGCAAACAGGAUUAGAUACCCGAGUAGUC